UGGCGGACGGGUGAGUAACACGUGGGUAACCUGCCCAUAAGAGGGGGAUAACAUCCGGAAACGGGUGCUAAUACCGCAUAGUUUUCUUGAUCGCAUGAUCGAGAAAGGAAAGACGGCCUUUGUGCUGUCGCUUAUCGGAUGGACCCGCGGCGUAUUAGUUAGUUGGUGAGGUAAUGGCUCACCAAGACGAUGAUACGUAGCCGACCUGAGAGGGUGAUCGGCCACAUUGGGACUGAGACACGGCCCAAACUCCUACGGGAGGCAGCAGUAGGGAAUCUUCCGCAAUGGACGAAAGUCUGACGGAGCAACGCCGCGUGAGUGAAGAAGGUUUUCGGAUCGUAAAACUCUGUUGUCAGAGAAGAACAAGUUGGAGAGUAACUGCUCCAGCCUUGACGGUAUCUGACCAGAAAGCCACGGCUAACUACGUGCCAGCAGCCGCGGUAAUACGUAGGUGGCAAGCGUUGUCCGGAUUUAUUGGGCGUAAAGCGAGCGCAGGCGGUUCCUUAAGUCUGAUGUGAAAGCCCACGGCUCAACCGUGGAAGGUCAUUGGAAACUGGGGAACUUGAGUGCAGAAGAGGAGAGUGGAAUUCCAUGUGUAGCGGUGAAAUGCGUAGAUAUAUGGAGGAACACCAGUGGCGAAGGCGACUCUCUGGUCUGUAACUGACGCUGAGGCUCGAAAGCGUGGGGAGCAAACAGGAUUAGAUACCCUGGUAGUCCACGCCGUAAACGAUGAGUGCUAAGUGUUGGAGG
rnacentral:rRNA from 1 species